AUUGAACGCUGGCGGCAGGCCUAACACAUGCAAGUCGAACGGUAACAGGAAGAAGCUUGCUUCUUUGCUGACGUGUGGCGGACGGGAGUGUCAUGUCUGGGAAACUGCCUGUUGGAGGGGGAUAACUACUGGAAACGGUAGCUAAUACCGCAUAACGUCGCAAGCCCAAAGAGGGGGACCUUCGGGCCCCUUGCCACCGGUUCAGCCCAGAUGGGAUUUGCAGGUAGGUGGGGUAACGGCUCACCAAGGCCACGACCCCUAGCUAGUCUGAGAGGAUGACCAGCCACCCUGGAAGUGAGACACGGUCAGGACUCCUACGGGGGGCAGCAGUGGGGAAUAUUGCACAAUGGGCGAAAGCCUGAUGCAGCCAUGCCGCGUGUAUGAAGAAGGCCUUCGGGUUGUAAAGUACUUUCAGCGGGGAGAAAGGGAGUAAGGUUAAUACCUUUACUCAUUGACGUUACCCGCAGAAGAAGCACCGGCUAACUCCGUG
rnacentral:rRNA from 1 species